CGUGUAGGCGGCUCAUCAAGUCUGGUGUGAAAACGCAAGGCUUAACCUUGCGUAUGCGCUGGAAACUGGUGGGCUUGAGUUCUUGAGGGGAAGCUGGAAUUCCAGGUGUAGGGGUGAAAUCUGUAGAUAUCUGGAAGAACACCGGUGGCGAAGGCGAGCUUCUAUCAGAGGACUGACGCUGAGGCGCGAAAGCGUGGGGAGCAAACAGGAUUAGAUACCCUGGUAGUCCACGCUGUAAACGAUGUGCACUAGGCGUGGGGCACGUACGUGCUCUGUGCCGUAGUUAACGUGAUAAGUGCACCGCCUGGGGAGUAUGCUCGCAAGGGUGAA
rnacentral:rRNA from 1 species